rnacentral:piRNA from 1 species
UACAGGAAUUUUGAUUGAAGAGC